rnacentral:rRNA from 1 species
UACGGGGGGGGCAAGCGUUGUUCGGAAUUACUGGGCGUAAAGGGCGCGUAGGCGGCACUGUUAGUCAGGCGUGAAAUUCCUGGGCUCAACCUGGGGACUGCGCUUGAUACGGCAGAGCUAGAGGAUGGAAGAGGGUCGCGGAAUUCCCAGUGUAGAGGUGAAAUUCGUAGAUAUUGGGAAGAACACCGGUGGCGAAGGCGGCGACCUGGUCCAUUACUGACGCUGAGGCGCGACAGCGUGGGGAGCAAACAGG